CUACGGGACGCAGCAGUAAGGAAUAUUGGACAAUGGCCGCAAGGCUGAUCCAGCCAUGCCGCGUGCAGGAAGACGGACCUAUGGUUUGUAAACUGCUUUUGAACUAGAGAAAACCCCUUUACGUGUAAAGGGCUGAUAGUAUAGUUAGGAUAAGCAUCGGCUAACUUCGUGCCAGCAGCCGCGGUAAGACGAAGGAUGCAAGCGUUAUCCGGAUUCAUUGGGGUUAAAGGGAGCGUAGGCGGACUUGUAAGUCAGUGGCGAAAUCUUUGGGCUUAACCCAGAAACUGCCAUUGAUACUGCAGGUCUAGAGUACAGUUGCCGUUGGCGGAAUAUGACAUGUAGUGGUGAAAUACUUAGAUAUGUCAUAGAACACCGAUUGCGAAGGCAGCUAACGAAGCUGUAACUGACGCUGAGGCUCGAAAGUGCGGGGAUCAAACAGGAUUAGAUACCCUUGUAGUC
rnacentral:rRNA from 1 species